rnacentral:rRNA from 1 species
UAGGGUAUCUUCCACAAUGGACGCAAGUCUGAUGGAGCAACGCCGCGUGAGUGAAGAAGGUUUUCGGAUCGUAAAGCUCUGUUGUUGGUGAAGAAGGAUAGAGGCAGUAACUGGUCUUUAUUUGACGGUAAUCAACCAGAAAGUCACGGCUACCUACGUGCCAGCAGCCGCGGUAAUACGUAGGUGGCAAGCGUUUUCCGGAUUUAUUGGGCGUAAAGCGAGCGCAGGCGGAAUGAUAAGUCUGAUGUGAAAGCCCACGGCUCAACCGUGGAACUGCAUCGGAAACUGUCAUUCUUGAGUGCAGAAGAGGAGAGUGGAAUUCCAUGUGUAGCGGUGGAAUGCGUAGAUAUAUGGAAGAACACCAGUGGCGAAGGCGGCUCUCUGGUCUGCAACUGACGCUGAGGCUCGAAAGCAUGGGUAGCGAACAGG